rnacentral:rRNA from 1 species
UACAGAGGGUGCGAGCGUUGUCCGGAAUCACUGGGCGUAAAGGGCGCGUAGGUGGCGGCCCAAGUCCAUGGUGAAAGCUCGAUGCUCAACAUCGAGUCGGCCACGGAUACUGGGUUGCUCGAGCACUGUAGGGGCAGAUGGAAUUCCGGGUGUAGCGGUGGAAAUGCGUAGAGAUCCGGAAGAACACCGGUGGCGAAGGCGGUCUGACUGGGCAGUUGCUGGACACUGAGGCGC